rnacentral:rRNA from 1 species
ACGGGAGGCAGCAGUGGGGAAUAUUGGGCAAUGGGCGCAAGCCUGACCCAGCAACGCCGCGUGAGGGAUGAAGGUUUUCGGAUUGUAAACCUCUGUCCUUGGUGACGAACACAAUGACGGUAGCCAAGGAGGAAGCCCCGGCUAACUACGUGCCAGCAGCCGCGGUAAUACGGAGGAUGCGAGCGUUAUCCGGAUUUAUUGGGUUUAAAGGGUGCGCAGGCGGCACGUUAAGUCAGCGGUGAAAUGCAGGGGCUCAACCCCGGCACUGCCGUUGAAACUGGCGAGCUCGAGUACGGAUGAAGUCGGCGGAAUGUGAUGUGUAGCGGUGAAAUGCUUAGAUAUGUCACAGAACACCGAUUGCGAAGGCAGCUGACUAAUCCGCAACUGACGCUCAGGCACGAAAGCGUGGGGAUCGAACAGGAUUAGAUACCCUGGUA